rnacentral:sRNA from 1 species
CAUGCUCCCUUAUACGCUGGGCUACACACGUGCUACAAUGGGUAGUACAGAGAGUCGCAAAGCCGCGAGGUGGAGCUAAUCUCAGAAAACUAUUCUUAGUUCGGAUUGUACUCUGCAACUCGAGUACAUGAAGUUGGAAUCGCUAGUAAUCGCGAAUCAGCAAUGUUGCGGUGAAUACGUUCUCGGGUCUUGUACACACCGCCCGUCACACCACGAGAGUUGGUUGCACCUGAAGUAGCAGGCCUAACCGUAAGGAGGGAUGCUCCGAGGGUGUGAUUAGCGAUUGGGGUGAAGUCGUAACAAGGUAUCCGUACGGGAACGUGCGGAUGGAUCACCUCCUUUCUAGGGAGAAUAUGUCUUUCUCUAUUCUAUUAUUCUAUUGGUAAUGUUCUUCAGCGCAAUGCUGUUGGGAUUACUUCUGAACAUUGGAAACUAUAUAGUAGAACAAACAAGAAAACAAAAAUUAACUCUAACAAUUUCUUAGAGUUAGCUGUCAAAAAAAUAGGUUAAAAUAAUUAAGGGCACACAAAGGAUGCCUAGGUAGUAAGAGCCGAUGAAGGACGUGGUAAGCUGCGAUAAGCCUAG